AACAUCAACCCCCACCGGUUUUGCGACCUGGUGUGUGGGCUUGGACUUGGGUGUCUGCCGUCCUCCGGCUCGCCUUAAAUGACUUAGUGGGAUCACAUCCCGAGCCUGACUUAAUAAGUUUCGUCCGGCCUCGGUGGUGGCGACCGCUCAUAACCCGCCUUCUUGGCACCUCUUUAU
rnacentral:misc_RNA from 1 species